GUUGAUAAGUAUCGGAUUUACUGGGCGUAAGCGCGCGUAGGUGGUUAAUUAAGUCAAAUGUGAAAUCCCCGAGCUUAACUUGGGAAUUGCAUUCGAUACUGGUUAGCUAGAGUAUGGGAGAGGAUGGUAGAAUUCCAGGUGUAGCGGUGAAAUGCGUAGAGAUCUGGAGGAAUACCGAUGGCGAAGGCAGCCAUCUGGCCUAAUACUGACACUGAGGUGCGAAAGCAUGGGGAGCAAACAGGAUUAGAUACCCUGGUAGUCCAUGCCGUAAACGAUGUCUACUAGCCGUUGGGGGAUUUGAUCCUUUAGUGGCGCAGCUAACGCGAUAAGUAGACCGCCUGGGGAGUACGGUCGCAAGACUAAAACUCAAAUGAAUUGACGGGGGCCCGCACAAGCGGUGGAGCAUGUGGUUUAAUUCGAUGCAACGCGAAGAACCUUACCUGGCCUUGACAUAGUAGAGACUUUCCAGAGAUGGAUUGGUGCCUUCGGGAAUCUACAUACAGGUGCUGCAUGGCUGUCGUCAGCUCGUGUCGUGAGAUGUUGGGUUAAGUCCCGCAACGAGCGCAACCCUUUUCCUUACUUGCCAGCAUUUCGGAUGGGAACUUUAAGGAUACUGCCAGUGACAAACUGGAGGAAGGCGGGGACGACGUCAAGUCAUCAUGGCCCUUACGGCCAGGGCUACACACGUGCUACAAUGGUCGGUACAAAGGGUUGCUACACAGCGAUGUGAUGCUAAUCUCAAAAAGCCGAUCGUAGUCCGGAUCGCAGUCUGCAACUCGACUGCGUGAAGUCGGAAUCGCUAGUAAUCGCGGAUCAGAAUGCCGCGGUGAAUACGUUCCCGGGCCUUGUACACACCGCCCGUCACACCAUGGGAGUUUGUUGCACCAGAAGUAGGUAGUCUAACCGUAAGGAGGACGCUUACCACGGUGUGGCCGAUGACUGGGGUGAGUCUAGAA
rnacentral:rRNA from 1 species